GGCGAACGGGUGCGUAACACGUGAGCAACCUGCCUAGGUGUGGGGGAUAGCCGGUCCAACGGCCGGGUAAUACCGCAUACACUCAACACGAGGCAUUUCGAGUUGAGGAAACCUUCGGGGCACUAUGAGGGGCUCGCGGCCUAUCAGCUAGUUGGCGAGGUAAUGGCUCACCGAGGCUACGACGGGUAGCUGGUCUGAGAGGAUGGCCAGCCACAUUGGGACUGAGAAACGGCCCAGACUCCUACGGGAGGCAGCAGUGGGGAAUCUUGCGCAAUGGCCUAACGGCUGACGCAGCGACGCCGCGUGAGGGAUGACGCUCUUCGGAGUGUAAACCUCUUUUGCCUGGAACGAACUAUCAGCAUUCGCUGAUUUGACGGUACCGGGUGAAUAAGCACCGGCUAACUCCGUGCCAGCAGCCGCGGUAAUACGGGGGGUGCGAGCGUUGUCCGGAAUCACUGGGCGUAAAGGGCGCGUAGGUGGCAUGAUAAGGGUGUGGUGAAAGCCCGGGGCUCAACCCCGGGUCGGCCAUGCCGACUGUCACGCUGGAGUACUGUAGGGGCAGGCGGAAUUCCGGGUGUAGCGGUGGAAUGCGUAGAGAUCCGGAGGAAGACCGGUGGCGAAGGCGGCCUGCUGGGCAGUUACUGACACUGAGGCGCGACAGCGUGGGGAGCAAACAGGAUUAGAUACCCUGGUAGUCCACGCCGUAAACGAUGGGUACUAGGUGCCUGGGGGAGCGACCCCUUGGGUGCCGGCGCUAACGCAGGAAGUACCCCGCCUGGGGAGUACGGCCGCAAGGCUGAAACUCAAAGGAAUUGACGGGGGCCCGCACAAGCGGUGGAGCAUGUGGUUUAAUUCGACGC
rnacentral:rRNA from 1 species